ensembl:snRNA U6 U6 spliceosomal RNA
GUGCUCACUUUGGCAGCACAUAUACUAAAAUAGGAACAAUACAGAGAAGAUUAUCAUGGCCUCUGCACAAAGAUGACACACAAAUUUGUGAAGUAUUUCAUAUUUUU